GCCGAACGCUGGCGGCGUGCUUAACACAUGCAAGUAGAACGAAGUGGCGAACGGGUGAGUAACGCGUAAUCAACCUGCCCUUCAGAGGGGGACAACAGUUGGAAACGACUGCUACUACCGCAUACUGCAGGCGGGGAUUGCGUCUGAUUCUCUAGUUGGAGGGGUAACGGCCCACCAAGGCGAGGAUCAUUAGCGGGUCUGAGAGGAUGAACGGCUAAAUGGUGACAGAGGCACGUCCGAGACUCUUGAGGGGGGCAGCAGUGGGGAAUCUUCCGUAAUGGACGAAAGGCUAACGGAGCAACACGGCGGAAGCGAGGACGGCGUACGGGUUGGAGGGCUAUGAGAAUCGUGGCGCGGUACCGGAAUAGAAAGCCACGGCUAACUACGUGCCAGCAGCCGCGGUAAUAC
rnacentral:rRNA from 1 species